AGCGAACGCUGGCGGCAGGCCUAACACAUGCAAGUCGAACGGCUCUUCGGAGCAGUGGCGGACGGGUGAGUAACGCGUGGGAACGUGCCCUUUGGUUCGGAACAACACAGGGAAACUUGUGCUAAUACCGGAUGAGCCCUUCGGGGGAAAGAUUUAUCGCCAUUGGAGCGGCCCGCGUUGGAUUAGGUAGUUGGUGGGGUAAAGGCCCACCAAGCCGACGAUCCAUAGCUGGUCUGAGAGGAUGAUCAGCCACACUGGGACUGAGACACGGCCCAGACUCCUACGGGAGGCAGCAGUGGGGAAUCUUGCGCAAUGGGCGAAAGCCUGACGCAGCCAUGCCGCGUGAAUGAUGAAGGUCUUAGGAUUGUAAAAUUCUUUCGUGGGGGGAAGAUAAUGACGGUACCCCAAGAAGAAGCCCCGGCUAACUCCGUGCCAGCAGCCGCGGUAAU
rnacentral:rRNA from 1 species